CAGGGAAUAUUGCACAAUGGGCGAAAGCCUGAUGCAGCGACACCGCGUGCGGGAUGACGGCCUUCGGGUUGUAAACCGCUUUCAGGAGGGACGAAAAUGACGGUACCUCCAGAAGAAGCUCCGGCCAACUACGUGCCAGCAGCCGCGGUAAUACGUAGGGAGCAAACGUUGUCCGGAUUUAUUGGGCGUAAAGGGCUCGUAGGCGGUUCAGCAAGUCGGUCGUGAAAGCCCGGGGCUCAACCCCGGGGAUGCCGGUCGAAACUGUUGUGACUAGAGUUCGGUAGAGGUGAGUGGAAUUCUCAGUGUAGCGGUGGAAUGCGCAGAUAUUGAGAGGAACACCAUUAGCGAAGGCGGCUCACUGGGCCGAUACUGACGCUGAGGAGCGAAAGCGUGGGGAGCAAA
rnacentral:rRNA from 1 species